CUUCUUGGAAGAUGAGCUGUAGGAUGAUUUGGUUUGAACAAAUGUGCUGCUGCUGCCAUUGUCUGAUCUCUUCACAUAACUUGACUCCAUGGUUGUUGUGCGGGAAGUCUUGCUGCCAUCAUUAGACUGGAUGAGGCGCUCGGUUUUGGUGACAGUGCUGCGGGCUGAGCCGUCGGCUGACUGGGUGCUCUGCGUGGUGGUGGUCUCAGUGUUGUGGCCAGCCCUGCUCACUGUAGCCUGGCUCUUCAUCUCCUGCAGCCGCUGGUCCCGCUCCUUCUCCCGCUGGUCUCGCUUGCGCUGGCGCAGCUCCCGCAUGGCAUUACGGAUCAGCCGUCGCUCCUCAAAGUCUGUGGUCUGAUCCAGCAUCUUAUCCAGAACAUCCUCGUCCUCAAUCCUGUUCAACUCCUCGACAUUCAGCUUGCUCUUCUUCUCCACUUCCCUCACUUGGACCUUCUCCAUGCCAUUGGGCAGCUCUGGCUGCAGCCUCGGUGCCUGGGGCUGCUCCACCACCAGCUCCGGUUCCAUCGGAAAGCUGUUGCUCCGGGAGAGGUGCAGCUGACGCGUGCUGGAGAAAGUGGGUGGAUGGGCCACCGGGCUGCCGGACUCCUCGGUGCCCUCAAAAUGAGCGCAAGGGUCCUGUGCUUCCAGAAACAGGGUGCUGAGGUCCUUCUCCGCGGGUUCCGGCGGUGCCAGCCAUAGGGCCAGCAGGUCCAGCCGGCGGCCCAGGCGCGCCUGCUCAGCCCGCAGCACCAGGUGCUCCUCCUCCAGAUCCCGCAGGGCGCGGGCCAGGGGCUGCACCUGCCGCACGGCCUGCUCCAGCUGCCCCUCCACUGCCCGCCCGAAGGCCUGCAGCUCCCGCCGCAGCUCCUCCAGCUCGGCCGCCCCGGCCUGCGCCAGGGCCUCCAGGCCGACCCCC
rnacentral:lncRNA from 1 species